rnacentral:rRNA from 1 species
GCAAAAGGGGGGGUGCUAUACAUGCAAGUCGAGCGGACAGAUGGGAGCUUGCUCCCUGAUGUUAGCGGCGGACGGGUGAGUAACACGUGGGUAACCUGCCUGUAAGACUGGGAUAACUCCGGGAAACCGGGGCUAAUACCGGAUGGUUGUUUGAACCGCAUGGUUCAAACAUAAAAGGUGGCUUCGGCUACCACUUACAGAUGGACCCGCGGCGCAUUAGCUAGUUGGUGAGGUAACGGCUCACCAAGGCAACGAUGCGUAGCCGACCUGAGAGGGUGAUCGGCCACACUGGGACUGAGACACGGCCCAGACUCCUACGGGAGGCAGCAGUAGGGAAUCUUCCGCAAUGGACGAAAGUCUGACGGAGCAACGCCGCGUGAGUGAUGAAGGUUUUCGGAUCGUAAAGCUCUGUUGUUAGGGAAGAACAAGUACCGUUCGAAUAGGGCGGUACCUUGACGGUACCUAACCAGAAAGCCACGGCUAACUACGUGCCAGCAGCCGCGGUAAUACGUAGGUGGCAAGCGUUGUCCGGAAUUAUUGGGCGUAAAGGGCUCGCAGGCGGUUUCUUAAGUCUGAUGUGAAAGCCCCCGGCUCAACCGGGGAGGGUCAUUGGAAACUGGGGAACUUGAGUGCAGAAGAGGAGAGUGGAAUUCCACGUGUAGCGGUGAAAUGCGUAGAGAUGUGGAGGAACACCAGUGGCGAAGGCGACUCUCUGGUCUGUAACUGACGCUGAGGAGCGAAAGCGUGGGGAGCGAACAGGAUUAGAUACCUUGGUAGUCCAAA